rnacentral:lncRNA from 1 species
GUUGCUGUAAGAUACAUUAAACACCUAAUGAAACUUUUGAAGUAUGUUUCCUCUACCUUUUCGGCUCCAUCAUCCAUGUUUAGUUUCUCUUUUGGGUUCAUGGGAGUAUUCAUCUCUUUGCGAUUUUUCAUUUUGAAUUUCUUGAGAAUUUCCUUCGCGUACUUCUUCCGACAAAUGAAAUACUCAUUUUUCCUUGAGUAAUCUCCAUUCCAAGGAAAU